rnacentral:rRNA from 1 species
UACGUAGGGGGCAAGCGUUGUCCGGAUUUAUUGGGCGUAAAGAGCGUGUAGGCGGCCAAGCAGGUCAGCUGUGAAAACUCGAGGCUCAACCUCGAGACGUCGGUUGAAACCGCUUGGCUAGAGUCCGGAAGAGGAGAGUGGAAUUCCCGGUGUAGCGGUGAAAUGCGCAGAUAUCGGGAAGAACACCCGUGGCGAAGGCGGCUCUCUGGGACGGUACUGACGCUGAGACGCGAAAGCGUGGGGAGCGAACGAGG